CGACCAGACUCCUACGGGAGGCAGCAGUGAGGAAUAUUGGUCAAUGGGCGAGAGCCUGAACCAGCCAAGUCGCGUGAGGGAGUACUGCCCUAUGGGUUGUAAACCUCUUUUGUCGGGGAGCAAAAGCCGGACGUGUCCGGCUGUGAGAGUACCCGAAGAAAAAGCAUCGGCUAACUCCGUGCCAGCAGCCGCGGUAAUACGGAGGAUGCGAGCGUUAUCCGGAUUUAUUGGGUUUAAAGGGUGCGCAGGCGGAUUUUUAAGUCAGCGGUCAAAUCGUGGGGCUCAACCCCAUCCAGCCGUUGAAACUGCAUCCCUUGAGUGCGCGAGAAGUAUGCGGAAUGCGUGGUGUAGCGGUGAAAUGCAUAGAUAUCACGCAGAACUCCGAUUGCGAAGGCAGCGUACCGGCGCCCAACUGACGCUGAAGCACGAAGGCGUGGGUAUCGAACAGGAUUAGAUACCCUCGUAC
rnacentral:rRNA from 1 species